rnacentral:rRNA from 1 species
CAUGCAGGCGGUCGGACGCGUUUUGUGUGACAGCGGGUGGCUUAACUACCCGAGUAUGCGAAAGACGGUCUGACUUGAGGGCUCGAGAGGGACACGGAAUUCCGGGUGGAGUGGUGAAAUGCGUAGAGAUCCGGAGGAACACCGAAGGCGAAGGCAGUGUCCUGGCGAGUGACUGACGCUGAGGUGCGAAAGCUAGGGGAGCGAACGGGAUUAGAUACCCCGGUAGUCCUGGCCGUAAACGAUGACCACCAGGUGUGGGAGGUAUCGACCCCUUCCGUGCCGGAGGAAACCCACUAAGUGGUCCGCCUGGGGAGUACGGUCGCAAGAUUAAA